rnacentral:rRNA from 1 species
UGUGGAGGUUAUGGAAAAGCAAAUGUAGGCAUAAGUAACGAUAAGGCGGGUGAGAAACCCGCCCACCGAAAGACCAAGGUUUCCUGAUCAACGUUAAUCGGAUCAGGGUCAGUCGGGACCUAAGGCGCACCCGAAGGGGGCAAGCCGAUGGACAACUGGUUAAUAUUCCAGUACUCUUCAUAACUGCGAUGUGGUGACGGAGUAGUGACACUGCCGCGAACUGACGGAAUAGUUCGUUGAAAGGCGUAGGUAUAGGAACGGUAGGCAAAUCCGCCGUUCUUGCUGAAACCCAAUAGUACAGCAAAGCUUCGGUGGCGCUGAUAGAGCAGGUAAACAGACUUCCAAGAAAACCCGCUAAGCUUCAGGUUAUGAAGACCCGUACCGCAAACCGACACAGGUGGUCGAGGAGAGAAUCCUAAGGUGCUCGAGUGAGUCAUGGCUAAGGAACUCGGCAAAAUGGCCCUGUAACUUCGGGAGAAGGGGCGCUGUCUCUGAGAAGAGCAGCCGCAGUGAAAAGGCCCAGGCGACUGUUUAACAAAAACAUAUGGCUUUGCAAAAUCGCAAGAUGAAGUAUAAGGCCUGACACCUGCCCGGUGCUGGAAGGUUAAGAGGGGAUGUCAUCGCAAGAGAAGCAUUGAAUCGAAGCCCCAGUAAACGGCGGCCGUAACUAUAACGGUCCUAAGGUAGCGAAAUUCCUUGUCGGGUAAGUUCCGACCUGCACGAAUGGUGUAACGAUCUGGGCGCUGUCUCAGCCAUGAGCUCGGUGAAAUUGUGGUAUCGGUGAAGACGCCGAUUACCCGCAACGGGACGGAAAGACCCCAUGCACCUUCACUAUAGCUUAACAUUGAGAUUGGGUACAGGAUGUGUAGGAUAGGCGGGAGAUGUUGAAGUGGCUUCGCCAGGAGUCAUGGAAUCAACCUUGAAAUACCGCCCUUUCUGUAUUCGGUUUCUAACUCGGUCUUACCGAGGACAUUGUUUGGUGGGUAGUUUGACUGGGGUGGUCGCCUCCAAAAAGGUAACGGAGGCUUUCAAAGGUAAGCUCAGUACGCUUGGUAACCGUACGUGGAGUGCAAUGGCAUAAGCUUGCUUGACUGUGAGACCUACAAGUCGAACAGGGUCGAAAGACGGACAUAGUGAUCCGGUGGUUCUGUAUGGAAGGGCCAUCGCUCAAAGGAUAAAAGGUACGCUGGGGAUAACAGGCUGAUCUCCCCCAAGAGCUCAUAUCGACGGGGAGGUUUGGCACCUCGAUGUCGGCUCGUCACAUCCUGGGGCUGGAGAAGGUCCCAAGGGUUGGGCUGUUCGCCCAUUAAAGUGGCACGCGAGCUGGGUUCAGAACGUCGCGAGACAGUUCGGUCCCUAUCUGUUGUGGGCGUUGGAAGUUUGAGUGGAUCUGACCUUAGUACGAGAGGACCGGGUUGGACAGACCUCUGGUGAACCUGUUAUGCCGCCAGGUGUACGGCAGGGUAGCUACGUCUGGAAUAGAUAAGCGCUGAAAGCAUCUAAGUGCGAAACUAGCCACGAGAUGAGACUUCCUUAUAGGGUCGUAGAAGAUGACUACGUUGAUAGGCCAUAGGUGUAAAGGUUGAGAGACCAAAGCCAAGUGGUACUAAUAGCCCGAAGCUUUCUCAA